rnacentral:lncRNA from 1 species
GAGAGGCGGGGCAUAGGAUCAUAGGAUGAGUACGAGUAGGUUGAGGUGGUUGGGUGGGGACAUGAUUAGUUGGGAGGUGGGGAUUAGAUAAGUCUACUUGGGAGUUUAAAUUAUCAAAUGGAGAUAAGAGAGGAAAGAAUGUAAUGGGCAAGGUAAUGUCAGUUGGGUGAGCAAGACUUGAAUUUUGGAUGAGAGGAUAAGGUGUAGAGGUUGAAGGAUUAGAAU